GAUGAACGCUGGCGGCGUGCCUAAUACAUGCAAGUCGAGCGAACAGACGAGGAGCUUGCUCCUCUGACGUUAGCGGCGGACGGGUGAGUAACACGUGGAUAACCUACCUAUAAGACUGGGAUAACUUCGGGAAACCGGAGCUAAUACCGGAUAACAUGUUGAACCGCAUGGUUCAACAGUGAAAUACGGUCUUGCUGUCACUUAUAGAUGGAUCCGCGCCGCAUUAGCUAGUUGGUAAGGUAACGGCUUACCAAGGCAACGAUGCGUAGCCGACCUGAGAGGGUGAUCGGCCACACUGGAACUGAGACACGGUCCAUACUCCUACGGGAGGCAGCAGUAGGGAAUCUUCCGCAAUGGGCGAAAACCUGACGGAGCAACGCCGCGUGAGUGAAGAAGGUCUUCGGAUCGUAAAACUCUGUUAUUAGGGAAGAACAAAUGUGUAAGUAACUAUGCACGUCUUGACGGUACCUAAUCAGAAAGCCACGGCUAACUACGUG
rnacentral:rRNA from 1 species